rnacentral:rRNA from 1 species
UACGUAGGGGGCUAGCGUUGUCCGGAAUCAUUGGGCGUAAAGAGCGUGUAGGCGGCUCGGUAAGUCCGCUCUGAAAGCCCGGGGGCUCAACCCCGGGAGGCGGGCGGAUACUGUCGGGCUAGAGUCCGGAAGAGGCGAGUGGAAUUCCUGGUGUAGCGGUGAAAUGCGCAGAUAUCAGGAGGAACACCCGUGGCGAAAGCGGCUCUCUGGGACGGUACUGACGCUGAGACGCGAAAGCGUGGGGAGCAAACAGG